CAAGGCUAGGCUACAUAAGGCACCUGUGCCCCUUUGUCAUGUCUUUGCUUCCUGAUCUGUCCCUGCUGUGGUUGUGGCUAGUGUUUGUUGCACCAAGGAAGCCUUCUAAAUGACUUCAAUCAUCAGUCUCCCUGAAACUAUUCAGCUGUUAAGAGUCAAACGUGCAACCCUCCCCUUCCACCUGCGGGCAUCGUCAACCACGGCUUCCUGGGUCCCUUUGCAGCGGACCGCUCCUUCGUUUGGUCUCUGGGUUCCCUGUCCACCAUCACCAGUGUCUAGGCUCCAUCGGGGGGGAAUAUGUCUGGCUUCUCUACCCCUUUAAAAUAUGUUAAUGAUUGCGUCUAAUCCCAAAGACUCUGGUGCCAUCUUGUUGGGAGCCAGGCAGCCGUGGUGAGGUUCCUUCACUGUUGCAUUUCCAGCUUUCAUCACCAUGACAAUGCAGAACACACAGCAGGCAGAAACUAAUCUCACAACUAAAGGCCAUAAAACCACGAGGGAGCCACGGCAGCUUUUGACAUUUUUGGAGAGGAU